rnacentral:rRNA from 1 species
GAUGAACGCUGGCGGCGUGCCUAAUACAUGCAAGUCGAGCGAACAGACGAGGAGCUUGCUCCUCUGAUGUUAUCGGCGGACGGGUGAGUAACACGUGGAUAACCUACCUAUAAGACUGGGAUAACUUCGGGAAACCGGAGCUAAUACCGGAUAACAUGUUGAACCGCAUGGUUCAACAGUGAAAGACGGUCUUGCUGUCACUUAUAGAUGGAUCCGCGCCGCAUUAGCUAGUUGGUAAGGUAACGGCUUACCAAGGCAACGAUGCGUAGCCGACCUGAGAGGGUGAUCGGCCACACUGGAACUGAGACACGGUCCAGACUCCUACGGGAGGCAGCAGUAGGGAAUCUUCCGCAAUGGGCGAAAGCCUGACGGAGCAACGCCGCGUGAGUGAAGAAGGUCUUCGGAUCGUAAAACUCUGUUAUUAGGGAAGAACAAAUGUGUAAGUAACUAUGCACGUCUUGACGGUACCUAAUCAGAAAGCCACGGCUAACUACGUG